rnacentral:rRNA from 1 species
AUGCCCAGCCGCAUCAACGCCGUCACAGAGCCACAAAAUGACGAUGUAUCGAGCCCAAUAUCUGUCACAGUGCAAGAUUCGUCCAGGUCCACGCUAGCCGAUGCAACUCUUACAUCUCGCAUAUCAAUUCAGAAGUUCUGUUGCGUCGUAUCCCAGUUUAGUAACUUCAAGCGCGGGCUAGUUACUGAGACUGGUUUCGGAGGGCUGAUGCAUUUGAAAAUUACACACAAGCUCAAUUUGAAAUGCAGUUCGUUGUUGAUGUUCAGAGUAGAUCCACACGAAUGCGUGUUAGAAUUGGAUCAAUCAAGGAGAAUCCCAAUCACUGACCAAGACGUAAAUGAUGUUUUUGGGUUACCACAAGGAAGUAGGAUCAUCCCUCCAGGACAUUCAGAUCUAUCUGAAGUUUUUUAUAGAGUUCAGCACACUGGCUUCAAGCAUCAGCACGAAAGGCGUUCAUAG